rnacentral:rRNA from 1 species
UACGGGGGGGGCAAGCGUUGUUCGGAAUUACUGGGCGUAAAGGGCUCGUAGGCGGCCAACUAAGUCAGACGUGAAAUCCCUCGGCUUAACCGGGGAACUGCAUCUGAUACUGGAUGGCUUGAGUUCGGGAGAGGGAUGCGGAAUUCCAGGUGUAGCGGUGAAAUGCGUAGAUAUCUGGAGGAACACCGGUGGCGAAGGCGGCAUCCUGGACCGGUAUUGACGCUGAGGCGCGAAAGCCAGGGGAGCAA